rnacentral:misc_RNA from 1 species
GGGWGAAGUCGUAACAAGGUAUCCGUACCGGAAGGUGCGGAUGGAUCACCUCCUUUCUAAGGAGACAUGAAAUCAAUCACUUGAUUUCAUAUCCUAUGGUCGAUACUCUUAAGUACUUGCUGUUCGUUUUAUAAAUAUGGGCCUAUAGCUCAGCUGGUUAGAGCGCACGCCUGAUAAGCGUGAGGUCGAUGGUUCAAGUCCAUCUAGGCCCACCAUUAUUAUGUGGGGGUGUAGCUCAGUUGGGAGAGCACCUGCCUUGCACGCAGGGGGUCGCAGGUUCGAACCCUGUCAUCUCCACCAAUUUUAUGAAGCGUGGUAACGUGAAAUGUAAAUUGUAAGUAGUAAUACGUUUAGCGUUUCAUUUUGAUUUUAUCGCAUGAAAAACCGUAAAUUUAUUUCUGUGCCCAAUUAGAGGCAAAGACGGUGCCAGAUUGGCACCUAGUCAAUUAGGCGAUCUAAGGUAAACCUUAAGAGCCCGGGCGACGGCGACGAUGUUUCGCCUAGUUCUGGCGAUCGAAGGUGAA